CCUUGGAGCUGUUCUAAAGAAGUUCUACAUUUCCAGGUGGCCACAAGAGCACUCUACAGUUUCACUCGAAGAUUGUUCAUCAACAUAGGAGAAUUGAUGAGAUACCUGCCGGGAGGACUAUGGUAACAGCUGUUUGGUCCGCAAGAAAUGAACCAAGUGAAUUCAAAGUACUGAGGGCAUUCAACUGCCGAAUUCCCAGAGUCUGGCCUGUCCACUAAGCCCAAGAUUUAUUAGGAAUUAAAGAGGAUUCCAUCCGAAGGCAUUUGCUAUGUUGGGGCUAGUGCUAUAAAUACACAAAGAAUGAAGAAACAAGACAAGACCCCCCUCAGAGGAGGCUACCUGUCCGGAGAACCAGCACCCAUAAAACUGAAGCAAGGUCCUAUCUGAUCUCCCAAAUAAAUUCCCUUCUUUCCUUGA